GUUUAGCAAGUGUAACCCUGAUGCUUUGCCCUGUCAAACAAGGAUGAGGUAUGAACUUGUAUUAAAUGAGUGACAUGCACCAAGAGGAUGAGACCUCUCCGUGGCUAGAAUCAUUGUUGGUACUCAGAGUCAACCACAGAAAUGUCUGGAAGCUUGCAUGCUGUGGACUUUGAGCAGUGUGCCAAACAACUCAAGAGGUGCUCAUAUUUCUGUUUUUAAAUGUGUAUCUUUUGAAAUCAGUAGUUGGAAAUGAGGUUCUGGAACAUCUAAUCUCUCAGGGAGAGUUAACGGUAAAAAGGGGUUAAGAAAUCUUAGAACUUGUUCAUGUUUUGAUUUUCUGAGGCAUGCACACCUUCCCAGAAGCAUUCCUUUAACUCAAAAAAAAUUAAUCAUAUAAAAGAGGAAGGCAAAAUGAAAUGGACUGAUACAUAGUUUCAGUUAAAAGUUUCUCUUGACAUGGAAGUGUUGCACAUUUCUUUUGUUGUUCUACAUCCUCACCCUUAAAAGCUUCAACGAGACCUAUAUGGAGGUUUAUA
rnacentral:lncRNA from 1 species